AUCCUUAGCUACUCGAUAGUUUCUCUCAGGCGCAAAUCUUCUCGUACUCAACAGCUAAUGGCCAUGGCAGCGAUCAACGGAGCUUCUAUAAUCUCGCCGCCUUCAAAUCCUUCACGGCGGAGAUAAGAAUGCGCUAUGAGAGGAGAAAACUUUGAGCUAACAACUCGGUUAGGUGCUCUCGGACAUUGGAAGGGUCCACCCAAUGUAUUACGGUGUCAAAUGGCAAGUGCUCAACGCAAUAUGGCAGUCCAGCGGAGGAAGGGGGAGAAUCGACUGUGACAAUAGGGUGGAGGCUAUGCUCCGAUAUGCCGACGCCGGACUUUCAACCUUCGACAUGGCCGACCAGUGCUUACAAAAUGGGUGCCACCGUCGGUGAAGAUGACUAUUAGCUAUGUCCGGGAAAAGAUGCAUGGUGAAUCGUCUAUGUUUCCUUAGGAACUUCCUUAAAACUUCAACUGUAUCUAA